rnacentral:tRNA from 1 species
UCCCAGGUGGCUCAGUGGUGAAGAAACUGCCUGCCAAGCAGGAGACUUGGGUUCAAUCCCUGGGUUGGGAA